AAAAAAUUAUAUGAAAAGAGUUCAAGAAAAAAAAUAUUGAUAUAAGAUGAUACGGUGAGAGAGCAUCCACCGGAUAUAUCCAAAUCCCGUGGUAAUUUAAAAAUAUACCAGAAAGUUUUGACGGUAAUAAGAAAAAGGAAAUAUAAGCUAAUAAACAUUUGUGAUAUAAAACAAGGGAAUAGUGCACACCUUUUGUGUUUUGCACACAUUUAGCCCCUCCUCCCUCUGCCCUCGUAGCCACCCACAGGUUUUCCACGCCAAGGAACUCAGGAAAUAGAGCACACCUUUUUUCCACAUUUAGCCCCUACUCCUCCCUCUGCCCUCGACGCCACCCACAGGUUUUCCACGCCAGGGAAACCAGGGAAUAGAGCUACACCUUUUUUCCACAUUUAGCCCCUACUCCUCCCUCUGCCCUCGUAGCCAGCCACAGGUUUUCCACGCCGAGCAAACCAGAAAGUCCUGCACAAAAUAGCGGAAGAUGCGUGCUACUUCACGUGUUAGUCGAAAACCAAGCCCACGAGAUUAAGGCAAAGUCACGACACACGCAAGGCCCCAUAUCCGUAAUCACACCGACCUCUACGCGACAUCAGAAGUGAGUCGGAUGGGCGUAUAAGUAGACAUACCCGUGGAUCGGGACGAUGUGGGCACACAUCAGAGCGGAGAGAGGAGAAUGGCGGACAUUGCUCUCCUGGUGGUGGAAGAUUACGAGAGGAGGAGCAGCAGCAGCAGCAGAAAGGUGGGCUGGGAGGAAGGAGGCCACGGGGGGGCGAGGCAAGAGGAGUCGUCCGCGGCUUCUUUGGUUCGUUCGAGCCUUGGGAGGACGGCCAAGGAGGUCUCCUCUCGGAAGGAGCCGGAGAAGGCUCUGCGACCAGGGAGCUCCUUCGUUUCCGCUGCCGUUGAUGGCGUCUUCUCUGCUUGACGCGCUUCUCCGUGUCACUUUGAGCUUAUGAUCGAGAGAAUCUUUUUUUCUCGAAUUUGUAUAAAUAUAUAUUAUUUUAAUAAAUAAAAUCAUCUAAUUUUCAUA